rnacentral:rRNA from 2 species
UAAUACAUUACAACUUUCAGCGGUGGAUGUCUAGGUUCCCACAACGAUGAAGAACGCAGCGAAAUGCGAUACGUAAUGCGAAUUGCAAGACCUCGUGAAUCAUCAAGAUUUUGAACGCACAUUGCGCUUUCGGGUAUUCCCGGUAGCAUGCUUGUCUGAGUGUCUGUGGAU